rnacentral:rRNA from 1 species
UUUAAAUUUAGAGUUUGAUCCUGGCUCAGGACGAACGCUGGCGGCGUGCUUAACACAUGCAAGUCGAGCGAUGAAGCUUCCUUCGGGAAGUGGAUUAGCGGCGGACGGGUGAGUAACACGUGGGUAACCUGCCUCAAAGUGGGGGAUAGCCUUCCGAAAGGAAGAUUAAUACCGCAUAACAUAAGAGAAUCGCAUGAUUUUCUUAUCAAAGAUUUAUUGCUUUGAGAUGGACCCGCGGCGCAUUAGCUAGUUGGUAAGGUAACGGCUUACCAAGGCAACGAUGCGUAGCCGACCUGAGAGGGUGAUCGGCCACAUUGGAACUGAGACACGGUCCAGACUCCUACGGGAGGCAGCAGUGGGGAAUAUUGCGCAAUGGGGGAAACCCUGACGCAGCAACGCCGCGUGGGUGAUGAAGGUCUUCGGAUUGUAAAGCCCUGUUUUCUAGGACGAUAAUGACGGUACUAGAGGAGGAAGCCACGGCUAACUACGUGCCAGCAGCCGCGGUAAUACGUAGGUGGCGAGCGUUGUCCGGAUUUACUGGGCGUAAAGGGUGCGUAGGCGGAUGUUUAAGUGGGAUGUGAAAUCCCCGGGCUUAACCUGGGGGCUGCAUUCCAAACUGGAUAUCUAGAGUGCAGGAGAGGAAAGCGGAAUUCCUAGUGUAGCGGUGAAAUGCGUAGAGAUUAGGAAGAACACCAGUGGCGAAGGCGGCUUUCUGGACUGUAACUGACGCUGAGGCACGAAAGCGUGGGUAGCAAACAGGAUUAGAUACCCUGGUAGUCCACGCCGUAAACGAUGGAUACUAGGUGUAGGGGGUAUCAACUCCCCCUGUGCCGCAGUUAACACAAUAAGUAUCCCGCCUGGGGAGUACGGUCGCAAGAUUAAAACUCAAAGGAAUUGACGGGGGCCCGCACAAGCAGCGGAGCAUGUGGUUUAAUUCGAAGCAACGCGAAGAACCUUACCUGGACUUGACAUCCCUUGCAUAGCCUAGAGAUAGGUGAAGCCCUUCGGGGCAAGGAGACAGGUGGUGCAUGGUUGUCGUCAGCUCGUGUCGUGAGAUGUUAGGUUAAGUCCUGCAACGAGCGCAACCCUUGUUAUUAGUUGCUACCAUUAAGUUGAGCACUCUAAUGAGACUGC